rnacentral:rRNA from 1 species
GAUGAACGCUGGCGGCGUGCUUAACACAUGCAAGUCGAACGAUGAAGCCCAGCUUGCUGGGUGGAUUAGUGGCGAACGGGUGAGUAACACGUGAGUAACCUGCCCUUGACUCUGGGAUAAGCCCGGGAAACUGGGUCUAAUACCGGAUAGGAGCGCCUGUCGCAUGACGGGUGUUGGAAAGAUUUUUCGGUCAUGGAUGGACUCGCGGCCUAUCAGCUUGUUGGUGAGGUAAUGGCUCACCAAGGCGACGACGGGUAGCCGGCCUGAGAGGGUGACCGGCCACACUGGGACUGAGACACGGCCCAGACUCCUACGGGAGGCAGCAGUGGGGAAUAUUGCACAAUGGGCGGAAGCCUGAUGCAGCGACGCCGCGUGAGGGAUGACGGCCUUCGGGUUGUAAACCUCUUUCAGUAGGGAAGAAGCGAAAGUGACGGUACCUGCAGAAGAAGCACCGGCUAACUACGCG